AGUUCAGUUCCUUGCUAGAGCUGGAGAAGUGUGUGGUUGGCUGAGGGAGCUGUAGGACCUUGGAUGAGGCAGUGCUGCCAGAAGUCGGGGAGAAGGAGCCCUGAGCUGCUUGUAGGGACUACAUCAGGACAAGGCCUUGAGACAGACUGUGUCUGACUCGGCUGGAGGGUUGAGUCAGUGAAGACCCACCACAAACAGAGGGAGAGUACAGGCACGUGCACUUGGCCAGGGGCACCUGCGAGAGGUGAGUUGGCAGAUUAUGAGUUAGUGGUUUGACUGAACUCAUGGUGGACUUGAACUACAAUGCUGGAGCUGAACGCCCUUGAUCGCUGGUCUCCCUGGAUCUCUCGGAUCCAGAUUUGUGUUCUGGAGAGUUCAAGGGAGAGGUAACUUGGGGACUCCUGGAUGGACUUCUAUCUGAGCUGUGCAUACAGCUACACCUGAAAAGCCAUCACUAGGCAUGAAAUCUGGGGGUGGAAAUUGGAUCUGCCUUCCCACCGCCUGUACAGAGAGGCUCUCUUCCAAGGGAGGAACUAUGGAAUGGCCCCUACAUAGUGGAUAUGUUCCACAUCUCUUGGCAUGUACUCACCCUGACCCAUCCCUAUGUACCAUAUCUCCUGUAGAAUACUCCCACCGUUGGCAAGCAUGACCUAUCUGAGGAGCCUUUCAUGGGAGACUGAUAAAUUUUGGACGUGCAUCAAAUCUGUUUCUUCAGCCCUCAUGUGGGCAAUGUUGGCAUGGAGCUGACUAAAUGAAUUUAAUGCCCAGAUCUAGAAUUUGCACCUGUGUAUGUAAUGAACAAUGUGGGACCUUGCGCUCUGAUUCACAAACGGGUUUGAUGUACGUCUGAGUCCUGAGCUUUCACCGUUCCAUUAAGUUGAAUUAAAAUCUUGUAAAGCAGAUAAACCCUUUUGUUUUGGGGCAUCGCUGGGGUGAGGUAGAAAUGUCUACGGGUGGGAAGGUUAUUCCAUUACUGAACACAGUACUUAGUAUUUUGUACAUUUUUAUGCCAUGUCUGGUGCUGGCGGCUGCUGCUGGAAAGAGCACCCUUCACUGAAGAGACCAAUGGACUGACCCCGUAUGGCAUUUUCUAUUAAGUCUGUCUAAGUGUGCAGUGUUUGUGAAGGCUGGUGGUUAGUUCAGAAUAAAGUUGAUCAACUGGUCAGCUUUUAGUAUUUUAUGCAAAUUGAUUGACAGAAUGGAGCUAGCCAUCUGGCUGAAUGCUGCUGACAUCCAUCACCUGCAGAUUUCUCAGACUCUGAUUUUGAUUGCUGUUGCACUCAAAACUCAGCUCUCAGACAGCUUCCUCUCGUCCUUCCAACUGAGAUCUGCCUGUGGACAUUCUCAAGUGGUCUUUGAGUCUCAGACUGAACCAAGGCAAUGCAUCAGCAGCCCUGGGAAAGUCGGAUCAUUUAUCAUUACGUCUUCUCAUGAUGUUGCAUUAAUUAGUUCUAGUCUGCGGGUGCAGUGGGGUGAAGUGAAAGACUUUUAUCAGUGAUAAUUGGCAUGGUUUACCAGUAACUUAAAACUGAAGGAAGGGCAGGAGUAAUUAAUUAACAGAUCAGACUUUCUUAUAGAGUCCUUUCCCUGUUAAAUGGAAAAUGCUAAUGGAAACUUAAGAAUGUUUACUUUCACACUAAUGCUUAAGAGUAACUUAUCCACAGUGGGGCCUAUAAUCAUUAUUGCAAGUUAUU